ensembl:lncRNA
UUCUCUAAGAUCCCUCUGAGCACAGCCGGCUGGCUUGGUUAGCUUUGAUUAGCAAAGGGCAUCCACAGCACAGCUUCGGUGCUUCAAAGUUGCAUAGGGGUUCUGAGUGCAAAAUCAUUGCAUGUAUGCGUGUUGCUUCCCAGCUUGCACGUGUGGGCAGCCCAUAGCAGAGCAUUGCAGGGUAUGCCCUCUGCAGCGCUCGUCUUUGCGGGUUUGGGUACAAAUAGCUGUGUGUGGCAGGGGAUCAAAGUUACAGAUAAUAUCAGUGAUGCAGACUUCGAUGUGUCACGAAGGCUGCUGCUGAUGGCAGUGUUUUAUAGCCCAGGUGAGGUCAGUGUCCUCUGGUGAAAGAUGAGGGCAGCCUCCCGGAUGGCAUUGGCUUAAUAAAGCGGUUCCUAACUUUGGAAAGGUCUCCCUUAUGAGAUGUGCUGCUAAAUGACUCCUUUCAGUGGGUUCUCUUUCGGGAUUUCGGUUGGUGCAGCUCUUCUCCUUCAUGGCUCUGUGGUUAUGCAGAUGGAACGGCCUGAUUAGGAAGACUGAAGGACGGAGACUGGGAACGGAGUUCCUGGACAUCAGUGGGACCUUCUGCCUGCCCGGAGGGGACAGAGGUGCUGCAGCCUUGGAUUAUGGGAUGCAGGUGGAUGACCAAUGUACAGCGUGGACCUGGGACCUACUGGGGGAAGUCCUGGAGGAAAAGCACUGCUCACAGAUCCAGGUGUCACUGAAUGGCAGUGGGGGUCGUUUUUUCUGCCCGGAGGGAUUCAAUACCAAACCUUUGCUCCAUCCCGACUUCCAUGUCAGACACCCUUCUGACCGGCCGCCCCUCUGCUGCCAUCUGUCACGCAGCAACGAAAUGUAACAGAGUGUUGGUGGGAAGGUUCAGCCUCUACUGCCAUAGCACCAAUAUCUGCCUCUGACAUCAUGGGCUGGCAUCAUAAAAU